GAGUUCAGUGGGAGAGCGUCAGACUGAAGAUCUGAAGGUCCAGUGUUCAAGCCACUGUGGCCG
rnacentral:tRNA from 1 species